CUUUGGUUUGGAUUUCUCCCAAAGCAGAUUUGAUUCAAGGAUUCAAGUGCAAGGAGUUGUUUGAGAGAUGUUCCAGGAAAACCACCAAUAGGGGAAAUCAGAAGUGAGACAGGGGAGGGAAGGCAGUCAAGAAAGAGUGCAGGGAGUUCCCGUGGUGGCGCAGUGGUUAACGAAUCCGACUAGGAACCAUGAGGUUGCAGGUUCGACCCCUGGCCUCGCUCAGUGGGUUAAGGAUCUGGCGUUGCCAUGAGCUGUGGUCAUCAUGAAAAUGCCAAAAGAAAACAAGUUUUUAUUAAGAAUUCUAUGUUCACCUAAAAUAUCCUUCAGAUAUGAAAGCAAAAUAAAGAACUCUCAGAUGAAGAAAAACAAAGAGUCUACCUCCAGCAGAUUACUCUACAAGAAAUGAUUAAAUACUUUAGGCUAAAAUGAAAUGUAGCAUGUUCAGGAAUGAAGGGAAAAAAACAGAAAUAAUAAAUGAAUGAGAAAACAUAAAAUACUACUUUUUUCCUUUUUUUUUCAAAAUAUAUAUGACUGCUGACAGCAAAAAUUAUAAUAUUGUAUGGAGAGGUUUUCAAAGUAUGCAGCCAUAAUACAUAUAAUAACUGUAACAUAAAGACAGGAGUGGGGUGCAACCGAAGGAAAAGAAAGAUCUAUAUGGUUGUAAGCUUUCUCAAUUUUAGGUGAAGGGGUACAACAGUAACUCUAAGUAGGCUGUGAAAGGCUAGGUAUCCAUAUUGUAAUUCCCUAGGGCAUUAAAAAUUAAUACAAAAAGAUAUAGCCAAAAAGUCCAAAAGAGAUAUUAAAAUGGAAUACUGAAGAAUAACCCAAGAAGGUAAAAAAAGAGGAAUGAAAAACAAAGAGGGAAACAGAAGACAAAAAAUGGUAUACCUAAAGUCAUCUAUAUAAAUAAUUAAUCACAUGAAAUAUUAAUGGUCUAAACUCUCCAAAUAAAAAGUAAAGACUGACAGAAUGGAUUUAAAAAAAAAAAAAAAAAAAAAAA
rnacentral:lncRNA from 1 species